rnacentral:lncRNA from 1 species
GAAAGAUACAGCUCUGAGGUCGCUGAGCUCACUGGCUGUUCUCCUGGGACUCUCUCCAGCCUCCACUCCAAUUAGGGGACUUUCCCUGGCUGCCUCAGCUCCUUCCUGGGUCCCCUGAAUCAGAUAGGCCAGAGCAGAUGUGGAAGAGGCCCUGCUGGGCUCCUCAAGCUGAACCCAGCUCCACUCCCCAGAGCUUUGCCGUGGCUCCCGCAUCUGUUCCACUGCCACACUUAAUUCUGCUGAGAUGACCAGAGCAGGAAGCAGGAAAGCUGACUUCCCUGAAAGAGGUAACCUGCCUGGGGCUGUCAGGAGGAAGGCCCAUGGGAAUGCUCCCAGCAUCAGGGGACUUUGUGGUUUUCUACCAGAAGAAGGCACUGUACUGGUGUCUUCCAGAGAAGUCCGGGCAGUCAAUGCAAUUUAACCCCAUGCUCAAUUAUUCAACACAAAUAAGAGUCGAAUUAAGAUUCAUGAUUUCAUGAUUAUUGUUGCAUUACCCAAAUAUCUAACUGAUGGUGGACAUAUUUACGUGAGUCCACCAGUCUGAUCCCUAAAAUCUUCCUAAGACUUUCAACCUCCAUAAAUCAUUUUUGGUAGCAGCCAUCUUGUAAUUACCACAGAGUCCAAAGUGGAGAAGGCCCCUCUGCAGACUCCAUGCCCC